CCUACGGGUGGCAGCAGUGAGGAAUAUUGGUCAAUGGCCGAGAGGCUGAACCAGCCACGUCGCGUGAGGGAAGAAUGUCCUCUGGAUUGUAAACCUCUUUUGUCAGGGAGCAAAGUCACCCACGUGUGGGUGUUGGAGAGUACCUGAAGAAAAAGCAUCGGCUAAGCCCGUGCCAGCAGCCGCGGUAAUACGGAGGAUGCGAGCGUUAUCCGGAUUUAUUGGGUUUAAAGGGUGCGUAGGCUGGUUGUGAAGUCAGCGGUAAAAUCGUGGAGCUCAACUCCAUCCAGCCGUUGAGACUGAUGAUCUUGAGUGAGAGAGAAGUAUGCGGAAUGCGUGGUGUAGCGGUGAAAUGCAUAGAUAUCAGGAAGAACUCCGAUUGCGAAGGCAGCAUACCGGCGCCCGACUGACGCUGAAGCACGAAAGCGUGGGUAGCGAACAGGAUUAGAUACCCUAGUAGUC
rnacentral:rRNA from 1 species